GUGAAUCAUCAAAUUUUUGAACGCAUAUUGCACUCUCUGGUAUUCCGGAGAGUAUGCCUAUUUGAGGGUCAUUUAAAAUAAUCUUUAUUCCAAUUUUUCGCGGAAUUUAAAAUGGGUUGCCCAUUUUUUGUGGUAGCCUAAAAUCAAAGACAAACUCUUAUUUUUGGGUUGAGUGGUAAUUUUAUUUAUUUCGGGAAUUAUCAAUGAAUCAUC
rnacentral:misc_RNA from 1 species